ACUACGGGAGGCUGCAGUGGGGGAUAUUGGACAAUGGGGGGAACCCUGAUCCAGCGACGCCGCGUGAGUGAAGAAGUAUUUCGGUAUGUAAAGCUCUGUCAGCAGGGAAGAAAGAAAUGACGGUACCUGACCAAGAAGCCCCGGCUAACUACGUGCCAGCAGCCGCGGUAAUACGUAGGGGGCAAGCGUUAUCCGGAAUUACUGGGUGUAAAGGGAGCGUAGACGGUUAAGUAAGUCUGGAGUGAAAGGCCGGGGCCCAACCCCGGGACUGCUCUGGAAACUAUUGAACUUGAGUGCAGGAGAGGUAAGCGGAAUUCCUAGUGUAGCGGUGAAAUGCGUAGAUAUUAGGAGGAACACCAGUGGCGAAGGCGGCUUACUGGACUGUAACUGACGUUGAGGCUCGAAAGCGUGGGGAGCAAACAGGAUUAGAUACCCGUGUAGUC
rnacentral:rRNA from 1 species